GUACGUAGUUAGCCGGUGCUUCUUCCUACGGUACCGUCAUCCACGCGGAUUAUUCACCCGCGCGAUUUCGUUCCGUCCGAAAGUGCUUUACAACCCGAAGGCCUUCUUCACACACGCGGCAUGGCUGGAUCAGGGUUGCCCCCAUUGUCCAAAAUUCCCCACUGCUGCCUCCCGUAGGAGUCUGGGCCGUGUCUCAGUCCCAGUGUGGCUGGUCGUCCUCUCAGACCAGCUACCGAUCGUCGCCUUGGUGGGCUAUUACCCCACCAACUAGCUAAUCGGGCAUCGGCCGCUCCUCUCGCGCGAGGUCCUUGCGGAUCCCCCGCUUUCCUCUCUCGAGCUCAUGCGGUAUUAGCCAAUCUUUCGACUGGUUAUCCCCCACAAGAGGGCACGUUCCGAUGCAUUACUCACCCGUUCGCCACUCGCUACGGAGUUGCCCCCGUAGCGUCGUUCGACUUGCAUGUGUAAGGCAUGCCGCCAGCGUUCAAU
rnacentral:rRNA from 1 species